UAGGGCCAUAUCACGUUCAAAAACACGAGUUCUCGUGCGAUCACCGAUGUUAAGCAACGUCGAGCCUAGUCAGUACCUAGAUGGGUGACCACUUGGAAAUAUCAGAUGCUGCAA